rnacentral:rRNA from 1 species
AUUGAACGCUGGCGGCAGGCCUAACACAUGCAAGUCGAGCGGAUGAAGGGAGCUUGCUCCUGGAUUCAGCGGCGGACGGGUGAGUAAUGCCUAGGAAUCUGCCUGGUAGUGGGGGAUAACGUCCGGAAACGGGCGCUAAUACCGCAUACGUCCUGAGGGAGAAAGUGGGGGAUCUUCGGACCUCACGCUAUCAGAUGAGCCUAGGUCGGAUUAGCUAGUUGGUGGGGUAAAGGCCCACCAAGGCGACGAUCCGUAACUGGUCUGAGAGGAUGAUCAGUCACACUGGAACUGAGACACGGUCCAGACUCCUACGGGAGGCAGCAGUGGGGAAUAUUGGACAAUGGGCGAAAGCCUGAUCCAGCAAUGCCGCGUGUGUGAAGAAGGUCUUCGGAUUGUAAAGCACUGUAAGUUGGGAGGAAGGGCAGUAAGUUAAUACCUUGCUGUUUUGACGUUACCAACAGAAUAAGCACCGGCUAACUUCGUG